UGCCUUUUAAAUGAAGGCCUGUAUGAAUGGCAAGACGAGGGCUCAACUGUCUCUUUCUCCUCAUCAGUGAAAUUGAUCUUCCCGUGCAGAAGCGGGAAUAUUACCAUAAGACGAGAAGACCCUGUGGAGCUUUAGACCUCAGACAGUCCAUAAAAAGGGGGACAAAUAAACACCUCAAACUAAUUGGAAACUGUCCUACUGUCUUUGGUUGGGGCGACCGCGGGGUAACAAAAAACCCCCACGUGGAUUAAGAAUAUAAUUCCUAAAUCUAAGAGUUACAACUCUAGGAAACAGAAUUUCUGACCUUAAGUGAUCCGGACUUCCGAUCAACGAACCUAGUUACCCCAGGGAUAACAGCGCAAUCCUCUUUUAGAGUCCAUAUCGACAAGGGGGUUUACGACCUCGAUGUUGGAUCAGGACAUCCUAAUGGUGCAGCCGCUAUUAAGGGUUUGUUUGUUCAACAAUUAAAGU
rnacentral:rRNA from 1 species